GUUGGCUGUAAAGAAGCACCCUCUUAUCUUCAAGGCUAUUCCUGGUUGCUAUUUAAAACGCCAGUGACUUCAAACCCUUAUAGCAUUGUCUCUUAAUCAAAUGAGUGAAGAGAGUGUCAGCACCACACAACAUCAUUCAGAAAUGGGCUUUCAAUCACUGCAAUAAACUAACAAAAAUUCACAUUGACCCCUUCUGAAAGUCUGGCACCCUUUCUCCUCGCAGAUGGAAAGUUGUGAACGAUCGGUCUCCGUCCCAAACAAUUAGACUCUAGACAAUUAGCUGUGUCCAUCAUGGCUCGAGAAGGAUUAGGUUAACAAGGUUAAACAACGUCGGCCCAAGGCAAAGAUGAGGUUUAAUUGGAUUAAAAUCGAGUCGGCGGGAAGGUGAUCUACCUCUCUGUUGAAAGAAGAGAGGCCUCUCCAGCGUAAUAGUGCAGUUGUGGUCACACCAGAGUCCACUUUUUGGUGCCUAAUCUGAAAGCACUGAUACACUCUGGAACCGAUUAAAAUAUAUUGAUCUUCUUGGUCAUAAGUGCUUAAGAGCAUGGUCUGUUCCAGUCCAAAAUGCAUGUUCACAUCACAAUGAAGGUUGGGAAGAGCUGUCUGUUUGACCAGCACUGAUGCCAUCAGACAGUCCAAAUCACUUCUGCCAUUGCAGGUGAAGAUUUCCCAAAGGACCACUCCAAAGCUCCAGAUGUCGCUCUCCGUGGUGAACUUCCUGUACAUGAUGCUUUCUGGCGGCAUCCACCGAAUGGGCAGCAUCGUCCUCCCACCUACCUGAUGACGUGAUCGAGAACAGAUUACAAUCUUCCCCGAUCUUUACCACCAGCCCUUCUCCAACCAAACAGUUCCUGGUGGCCAGGUCUCUGUGGACAAAAUGAAGGGAAGCGAGGUACACCAUGCCCGAGGCGAUCUGAGCUGCGAUGUGGAGCAUCUGAGGAAGAGUCAACUGACCCAUCGGAGGAACCUUCAUCUCAUCCAGGAUACUAGCAUCUGGACCAUGAGCCCUAAGUACUGUGGGUUCUCUACAAAACUGGACAAACCAGAGUCCAGCGUGCUAUCAUCUGAAGACGGAGGACUUGCACCAAAGUUCAUGAAGCGAAGCGAUAUGGCCAAAUCAUCCUCAGUGCCGAGAACAGAUGAACCUGUGGGCACACAGACAGAGAGUGGCUCCCAAGCAGCUCCGGUUCUGCGUAUUCUUUUCCUUUCUUCACAUCUAUAUCCUCAGCCCAUGUUAAGUUAAUUAACUUAUUGGC